UUCACUUUAUACUUUGGGAGUUCCAACUAUCCUGACUUAAUUCUGUCUCAGUCACCGUAUGAUCGACACGGGUUCGAUCCCAACCUGAUCGAAUAGGCCCAAUCCACGAGGUGCCACUCACUUUAUGGUUCUCAGCGCUCAUAUAUCAUACCUUAGCAUGACUAAGUAAAUUCUCAGCAACGAGACCCUCAGCUUGUGUGCUCUCUACUUUGGCACAAGUAGUUUCAGGAAGUCAACGCCUUGGUCAGGACCCUCGACCUGGACGAUGACCCCUUCUCAGAAUAAGAGAUACUCCCCAAAAAUCUUUUCUUUCUAAAACUUCUUCUUGUGACUUUUGAAGUCUAAAUCUUUUCUUUAUAGAACAUUAUGUGCAUGCUCAUAUUGGUGUCCUUAAAUGUAAAGCAUGGCAUAAGAAUGAAAUAAACAUAUAAAAAUAUUUCUAAAGAUUCUUUCUUCUUCAUAAUUUUCAACAUGAAAAUAGCAUGUAAGAAUAACACAACAAUCUGAAAAUUUUAAGCACAUAUAGCAUAAUAGAUCAUCUAAACUUUUGCUAGAACAAUUCUAAAUUAAUGGGUACUCACUCGUUCUAAUUAAAUAAAGAUAAACUCUUUUAAGCAAUUCAUCAAACACCUUGUAUGCGUGCUUUUGUGAGUUAAACCACUUUAGUAAAGAGUUAUAUUAACUCACCUCAAAACUUCUCGAGCCAAUACGUAGCCCCAGUUCAAUUGACACCAGUCAAACAAUCGAUUCUACAAUAACCAGUACGUUUUAAUUAAUUUUUUUAAGGUACUACACUAAAAUAUGAAAUUUAUUGUUGAUAUAGAGGAAGAAGGGAAUUAACUAUUCUAUUCUUAUCUAUUACUAUUAUAGAGUAAUUGACAAUAGGGGAUUUUAUAUACCUGAGUUCAAGAAUUAGUGAUUUGUAAGAAACCCUAGAUUUUUCCGCUGCCUGUGAAUAAAUGGAGCCUCUGUUUCGUGAGGAACGAUUCUGUUUUUUUUUUAGCUUUUGCUUUCCGUCCUUUUUGAUAACGUUCUGCCUCUCUUUU
rnacentral:lncRNA from 1 species